rnacentral:rRNA from 1 species
CAGGCCUAACACAUGCAAGUCGAACGUGAAGCGGGGCUUCGGUCCCGUGGAAAGUGGCGGACGGGUGAGUAACGCGUGGGAAUCUGCCCAGCAGUACAGAAUAACCGCGGGAAACUGCGGCUAAUACUGUAUACGCCCUACGGGGGAAAGAUUUAUCGCUGCUGGAUGAGCCCGCGUCGGAUUAGCUUGUUGGCGGGGUAACGGCCCACCAAGGCUACGAUCCGUAGCUGGUCUGAGAGGAUGAUCAGCCACACUGGGUCUGAGACACGGCCCAGACUCCUACGGGAGGCAGCAGUGGGGAAUAUUGGACAAUGGGGGCAACCCUGAUCCAGCCAUGCCGCGUGAGUGAAGAAGGCCCUAGGGUUGUAAAACUCUUUCGGCGGGGACGAUGAUGACGGUACCCGCAGAAGAAGCCCCGGCUAACUCCGUGCCAGCAGCCGCGGUAAUACGGAGGGGGCUAGCGUUGUUCGGAAUCACUGGGCGUAAAGCGCGCGUAGGCGGUCCGCGUAGUCAGGCGUGAAAGCCCCGGGCUCAACCUGGGAACUGCGCUUGAUACUGGCGGGCUAGAGUACGGGAGAGGGUAGUGGAAUUCCCAGUGUAGAGGUGAAAUUCGUAGAUAUUGGGAAGAACACCAGUGGCGAAGGCGGCUACCUGGACCGGUACUGACGCUGAGGUGCGAAAGCGUGGGGAGCAAACAGGAUUAGAUACCCU